GAGAGUGAAAAAACCAACACAAGCGGACAGAAAAGAGUGAUAAGUGAAAAGACUUCACCAGAACAAAGAUGUAUCUAAACUCUGUGUGUCUUUUACUUCACCUGUGCAGAGGGGAACUUCACCUGCACUUAGCAAUGCUGCCCUGAAAAGAGACUGGUCCAAGAUCAAAGUACGGUAAACCUUUUCCGGAAUGGAUUCAAGCCCGGAGAAUCCAAGAUCGUCUUCACCUGCUCCCAGCAGUGUCUCUGCUAGGAGUAACAAGUCCAAGGAUGAACCGGAAAACUUUGGGAAAGAAGAAACAAGCCUGGCUGAAGAACACAGACCAGCUUCACCUACCUGUAGCG